rnacentral:rRNA from 1 species
UACGAAGGGGGCUAGCGUUGUUCGGAAUGACUGGGCGUAAAGGGUGUGUAGGCGGUUAGACACGUCAGAUGUGAAAUCCCCGGGCUUAACCUGGGAAUGGCAUUUGAUACGGUAUAACUAGAGAUUGGUAGAGGGUAGAGGAAUUGCGAGUGUAGAGGUGAAAUUCGUAGAGAUUCGCAGGAACACCGGUGGCGAAGGCGGCUACCUGGGCCAAUACUGACGCUGAGGCACGAAAGCGUGGGGAGCAAACAGGAUUAGAAACCCGAGUAGU